AGCCGCCCAGCCAUGUAGUAUAUCGAACGUCGAUGGAACGGUUUUUAUUUUUUUAAGUAUCCAUCCGCCGUGUAUAGUAACGCCGUUGCUAAGGGCGCAGUUUUCCCGCGCGCCAACGAGAUGAAAUUUCAUCCGAGUUGACAGCUGAUUGCAUCACGAUGUGUGACCUUUCAGCGAAAUGACGGUGAUGUUGUGCUGUGGAUCUGAGGAGGGGGACAGCUGUUUUAGCCAGUGACAUCAUUUGGCUUGAUGGGAAUUAGACAAACUUGGCCAAGCAACCACCUGUCAGCACAUCAAAACAGUCCCAUCCAUUCUUACAGAGUUUAGAACCCUUCCCAAGCUACCUACUGUCUUACCCAUUACCAGCAACAUUUUUGUAGUUUUCAGGGGUCUUUCACACCUCUCUAAACAACCAAAAUUGACAUAAAGCCCAGCAGCAGCCAUGUCUGAUGAAAGCUCCUUGGUCAAAAUGGGAAUGUCUGCAUGUUCUAGCACUAGCAACCAUUCAUUUUAUUCUAACAUCAUAAUCAGAAACAAUCCACAAAUUAAUCUUCACAACAAUACCACCAUGGAUAUAGAUAGAUGCAGUUUAACAGCAGUAAAAAUUUGUUAAUGACAAUAGACUAUUAUGUACCUUUUUGGGACAUGUCAUUGAAUUCAGUAAAGCACAUUAAAACCUUGCACUGUG